GCCGCGAUGGUGGAAUGGUAUACACAGGGGACUUAAAAUCCCCCGCCGAAAGGCUUGUGGGUUCGAGUCCCGCUCGCGGCA
rnacentral:tRNA from 1 species